rfam:Salmo salar isolate Sally breed double haploid chromosome ssa01, whole genome shotgun sequence.
UAGCUCAGUUGGUAGAGCAUGGUGUUUGCAACACCAGGGUUGUGGGUUCGAUUCUCAC